AAAGUGCUGCACUUAGAAUGGAGCAAUCAGUUUCAUGCAUACAGAAUGGGAAGAGACUCUGUAGGAAUUAGUACGGCAGAGAAGGAUUUAGGGGUUUAUAGUGGACC